UACGAAGGGAGCUAGCGUUGUUCGGAAUCACUGGGCGUAAAGCGCACGUAGGCGGAUGUGUCAGUCAGGGGUGAAAUCCCGGAGCUCAACUUCGGAACUGCCUUUGAUACAGCACAUCUGGAGUCCGGAAGAGGUGGGUGGAAUUCCUAGUGUAGAGGUGAAAUUCGUAGAUAUUAGGAAGAACACCGGUGGCGAAGGCGGCCCACUGGUCCGGUACUGACGCUGAAGUGCGAAAGCGUGGGGAGCAAACAGG
rnacentral:rRNA from 1 species